rnacentral:rRNA from 1 species
UACGGAGGGAGCUAGCGUUGUUCGGAAUUACUGGGCGUAAAGCGUGCGUAGGCGGCUGUGUAAGUUAGAGGUGAAAGCCCGGGGCUCAACCCCGGAAUUGCCUUUAAGACUGCAUCGCUUGAAUCCAGGAGAGGUGAGUGGAAUUCCGAGUGUAGAGGUGAAAUUCGUAGAUAUUCGGAAGAACACCAGUGGCGAAGGCGACUCCCUGGCCUAGUAUUGACGCUGAGGUACGAAAGCGAGGGGAGCAAACAGG